AUAGUGUGUUUAAAACUGGCGAAACUCGAAACUUGAAAGACAAGUUUGUCAGGAUUUUGGAAUAUAGAAUGAGCCGCGAUUCUAGUUCGGGCCAGGACACACUGAACAAUAAUCACUCGAGGGAAAACGAAAGUUCACAAUCGGACUGCGGUGAAGCGGGGACCUUUUCUCCGAAGGUCUCCGGUGGGAGAGCUCUGUAUGAUGACGGGCCUCCUAAUGACCCCAACGGCUACUUCCGGCACCCUCUCACGGCUGCGGAGACUGCCAUCAGUAGUGAAGCGUCUGCCUUAGCGUAUGAAUACAGCAAACUUCCGGCGCUGGACGCCAGUGGAAUGAAAAUUGGAGAAACUAAUGAUUACAAGGACAUCAUAAGAGCUAACCAAAGCCCGGAGCAGACUGGAGUGGAGGAAUCGGAAAAUGAGAGCGAAUAUUUGAACCUUGAGACGAAGUUCCUGAGCGAGGACAUCUGUGAGGUGAAUGACCAGGUGCCUCCUCCCAUUGACCAUGUCAUCGAAGUGUGUACCGUUCACCACCCCAGCCCCAGCCUCCCAGCAACCUCCAAAGCGUCCAAAAUCAACCAGGUCCAAGGGCAAAAAAUCAUCAGGCAGAGGAAAAGGGCCAAUUGCUGUCACGGUGGAGCCUCGUUCUGCUUCAGUGAGGACCGAAGAAUCCCUGGAAAACCCCUUAAUGACCAAUCAACGCAUCAAGAACGGUAAUUCUACGUCCGCGGGGAACACGUCCAUAUUGUAUAAGAACUCACCCAUCGCUGAAGACUGCAGGAACUUUGGUGAAAUCGAACAGUGCGAUACAGAUCCAUUACUAAACUGUUGUUCUUCCGAAAAGUUCGAAGAGCAGAAAGAAUCGACAUUCAAAAUCAAAAAAGCCCUUCACGAGAAACUGUGCAAAAAGCCAAGUGUUCAAGGCACCCAGGAAGUUCUGUUGAACGAUUCGUCAGUUACAAACUCAGAACCUGUGUCUCCCAAUGGAUAUUCUUCAGAUGCUGUGGCAGUGCUAGAAUCCAACGAGCUUCACCCACUCAGCGUCUCUACGAACUCUCCAACAGAAAGUUUCUCCGAAGAGCAGACGACAAUGCACGAUUCCGUCGCCAUGUCUCUCGGUAUGCCAAUGGCUUGUGCCGCUUCCACACUCACCAAUACUAUUUCUCCACUGGACAUUUCAAUGCAUCAUACUCACGAACAGUGCUAUUCUGGUCUCAUGGAUGUGCGACCCAAUCAACUUUUAGCGGGACAAUCCGAGCAGGAUCUCUUACAGAACAAUGCUAUUCAGCAUCAAACAAUGAGACAGAACUCUUACCCCGUUUCCACGUGCCAGUCCACAUACGCCGGUAGUGGCUACAUUUACCCCAUCACCCCUCCCCAAAUGAAUCACUCCCCUCCCGGCAAUGAAAUGAUAGAGCGUUAUCUCCAACAGCAACAACAUCAGUACCACCAGGAACCGUCCCCGAGCUACGGCUACUACGGGGUCAACAUGAAGGAGAAUUACGCCAUGAAGUCCCCAGACAGCGGGUACCAGGAGCCUUGUCUCUCCCCCACCGACCAGCUGAGCAUUAUGUAUAACCAUGACGCCGGAAGUUAUGGCGAAGUAACAACUACUUCCUGCCAGAAAGUGGGCAAGCGUCGAAAGUCCGCACCGGCCGUCUACCAGAAACAGUUAUGGUCGGCCUGCGAAAAGAUGCCCUCUUUCGGGACAGUCAUUCCAAAACUACCAGAAGAUACCGCUGGGUACAAAUGUAUUCUGGAGACCCCAAUUUCUUCGGCUUGCAGGCGAGACGAGGACAGGGUCACUUAUUUAAACAAAGGCCAGUAUUACGGAUUGACUAUUGAGUACACCGGGGAACAGCUACCUCCUAGUGGAAUGGUUAAGAGUGUUAUUAUGGUGGUGUUUCGGGACGACAAGUCUGUAGAAGAUGAGCAGAAGGCUUGGGAGUUUUGGCACAGCAGACAGCACAGCCACAAACAGCGCGUCAUAGACAUCGAUACAAAGGACAGUCAAGGUGUACAGGCUUGCAAUAUUACUGAGGUGUCUUAUAAUGCUGUGUCCGUGCGCUGGAAUCCACGAGAUUCUCCGAUAAAGGUGAAUGUAGCUGUCCAUUGUCUCAGCACUGACUUCAGUAACCAAAAGGGGGUCAAGGGCUUGCCUCUUCACGUCCAGAUCGACACGUACGAAAACGCCCGAGAGGAUCCGGUACACCGAGGGUACUGCCAGAUUAAAGUGUUCUGUGACAAGGGAGCCGAAAGGAAAACCAGAGAUGAGGAAAGGAGAUUAAAAACACGACAGACUCCCGAAGGCCCUAACCAAGCCCGAAAACGUAGUCAUGACAACCACUACCACCCACCUAGCGAGCGGUCCGAGUUUUACAGUAUGCAAGACACAAAAUCAAUGCCCUUCCUUUUUACCCCGUCCGCGGAUGAAGACGGGAUUAAGAAAGCUGAGAAAAGUCCAUCACGUUUGUCAAUCAGCGGCUUAGACGAUGAUGGAAACUCAAGUUUGAAUUCCCUGGGAGACAGCUUUGAUGACGUCUUGUGUCCGCCAUUCAAAAGACAAAGGCGGGACUCCUACGAAUCAUUUCAAAAAGUGCUACUGUACGUACGAGAACAUCAUGAGUCGGUGUUUACGGCCCUUAUGCUGCGGACUCCCACAUUACACGGUCUUUUAAAAGCGGUUGAGGAAAAAUACAACAUUCCUGUUGAAAAUAUCAAAAUCACAUACAAGCGCUCAAAGAAAGGAAUUAUCGUCAAAAUGGAUGACAACAUUGUGCGUCACUAUUCUCACGAAUCAACAUUCAUCAUCGAAAUGAACAAAAUUGGGGACAGUCAAGACUUCGAAAUCAUUCUGACGGAGAUCGAGGCGGUGCCGUCCUGUUGAUAGGAUGUUUGUGAACUACAAAUGAAAGUGCUCCUUCUCGCAAUAUGGCGGUUAACAUUCGGUACUGAUGGCAACGCCUAUUGCGGGAGUGUAUAAAACUAGUCUAAACCUGUAAUUCUCUUGAUGCAUCAUCAAAUGAGGACUCAGCUUGGUUAUAAUAUGCAAACUCUGUAUCAUCUGCCUCAUCCGCUCCGCAACAUAUAUAUGCAAUAUUACACAUAUCAUUCUGCUACAUCGGCGGACACACGAGUUGUUUCCCCUGCGGAAAUGACGUGAAAGCCAUGUAGAAAAACCAAAACAUUCCAAGUGAUAUUGUUUGGAUUUUUAUCUGUUACACAAAGAAAAGGUCUAAUUUUAUAGCGUUGUUUUGUUACUGUUAUGCCCAUUGUUUUUUAUAAGGAGAAAUUACAAUGUAUAUUACAGUUAUUUGUACAAAGAAUCAAUUGUACAUAUCAGUGAAUACGUGUAUAGUUAUACAUGAAUUGUCUCAAAUAUUUGAUAUAAACUAUUGUUUUAAUUUUGAGAAAAAUUAAAAUAAAAAGUAGACAAAAUAUAU
rnacentral:misc_RNA from 1 species